GAUGAACGCUGGCGGCGUGCCUAAUACAUGCAAGUCGAGCGAACAGACGAGGAGCUUGCUCCUCUGACGUUAGCGGCGGACGGGUGAGUAAAACGUGGAUAACCUACCUAUAAGACUGGGAUAACUUCGGGAAACCGGAGCUAAUACCGGAUAAUAUAUUGAACCGCAUGGUUCAAUAGUGAAAGACGGUUUUGCUUUCACUUAUAGAUGGAUCAGCGCCUCAUUAGCUAGUUGGUAAGGUAACGGCUUACCAAGGCAACGAUUCGUAGGCGACCUGAGAGGGGGAUCGGCCCAACUGGAACUGAGCAAGGGCCCAGAAUCCAACGGGAGGCAGAGGUAGGGAAUCUUCCGCAAUGGGCGAAAGCCUGACGGAGCAACGCCGCGUGAGUGAGGAAGCUCUUCGGAUCGUAAAACUCUGUUAUUAGGGAAGAACAAAUGUGUAAGUAACUAUGCACGUCUGGACGGUACCGAAGCAGAAAGCCACGGCUAACUACGG
rnacentral:rRNA from 1 species